rfam:Schistosoma mansoni, Puerto Rico, WGS project CABG01000000 data, contig: 0083
AUACAGCUGACGAGUCCCAAAUGGGACGACACGCACGUCCUGUAU